AUGGCCUGGUGCGCCAGGAAAAAGACGUUUUAUCUGGCUCAGGUAUGGACUUUUGGCGAUUUGAAGGUCAGAUUACCUGCCCACAACAGGGAGGAACAUCAUGAGAAAAUUUGGGGUCCAGACGUUUCGGAGGAAGACCACCUGGGAC